UUUGAUUCCAGUCAUGUUCUCCAGCAGCUGAGAAGCAUUGAAGUAAGAAAACAAAUUCCGUUGCUGAUUCUUGGUGGAAAAUCCCCAUCCCACAAGCCAGAUGCAAUCAUAGAGUGCACAUCAGG